rnacentral:tRNA from 1 species
GUCUCUGUGGCGCAAUCGGUUAGCGCGUUCGGCUGUUAACUGAAAGAUUGGUGGUUCAAGACCACCCAGGGACG